rnacentral:rRNA from 1 species
UACGUAGGGGGCUAGCGUUGUCCGGAAUCAUUGGGCGUAAAGCGCGUGUAGGCGGUUCGGUAAGUCCGCUGUGAAAGUCGGGGGCUCAACCCUCGAAUGCCGGUGGAUACUGUCGGACUAGAGUACGGAAGAGGCGAGUGGAAUUCCUGGUGUAGUGGUGGAAUGCGCAGAUAUCAGGAGGAACACCCAUAGCGAAGGCAGCUUGCUGGGACGUUACUGACGCUAAGGCGCGAAAGCGUGGGGAGCGAACAGG